rnacentral:lncRNA from 1 species
NGAUUGUCAAUGCUUGGGCAAUUGGAAGAGACCCAUCAUCGUGGGAAAACCCCGAAGAAUAUCAUCCAGAAAGGUUCUUUGAAACAGAGAUAGACUUCAAAGGGCUUAACUUUGAGUUGAUUCCAUUUGGUACUGGUCGGAGAGGUUGUCCCGGUACUACAUUUGCCGUAGCUGUGAAUGAGCUUGCAUUGGCAAAACUGGUGCACAAAUUCAAUUUUGCAUUGCCAAAUGGAGGAAGAGAGAGUGAUGUGGACAUGACUGAAGCCACUGGAAUCACCAUUCAUAAAAAGUUUCCUCUCCUUGCGGUUGCCACUCCACAAUCUUGUUAACGUCUACUCUAUUCUGUUAUGUGCUGAAUCUUACCUUUCAGUCGGGUCCUUACUAGUUUUGGAGUUUUCUUUCUGGCUGCUGCCAAGAAGUAAGAUAAUUGCAGGAGAUCAAGUGAAUCUAGUUUAUCUGAUUAUGAAAUCAGUUGUCCGUAUGGCAAAUUUAUAAAUGGUUUGUAAAGAGAGAGAAUAAUAGAAAUGAUAGUGAAUCUUAUGAAAUGUGUUAAUAAUAAGUGAGUAGAAAUCAUAAAUUGGUAAGCCAAGUAAAGACACUUGGUAAUUUUAUCUGCACGUUUGGUAUCUAUUAAAAUAUAGA